GCCCCCGCCAGGAGGCCCGCCAGGUGUCCACCUGAGCCCCACGCCCUGCGCCGCGGGGCCCUUUUGGGGGCGGGGUGCCAGCUCCGAGGUGUCCUCCCACGGGCUGUAGACUGGGAAACUGAGGCCCGGGCCACGGUCCCAGACGCAGCCGGGACCCGAACCCACCUCACCUGAGCGAAUGAUAUCCGGGACUCAUCCUUUUUCGACACCUUUGCGGGAUCCAGCCCUCCAAGGAAAGCUUCCUGAGCAGUGCGCGCCACGUGUAUUGGGCACCUCACCGCGGCCACUUCACAUCCUAUCUCAGGUGGAGAAACUAAGCCACAGAAAGGAGCUGUCAUUUACCUAAAGCACCGUGGCAGGGGUUUGGCAGAGCCAGGAUUUGUACCCAGAUCGCCUGACUUCGGAGAGUAACAGCUCUUAACCACAGCACUUCGGUCUAUGCCUUGAUUUCACCAUAUGUAACAAGCUGUGCCACUUUGC
rnacentral:lncRNA from 1 species